GGAUUAGAUACCCUGGUAGUCCUAGCUGUAAACGAUGGAUACUAGACGUAGGAACUGGAUUGACGGUUCCUAUGUCGCAGCUAACGCGUUAAGUAUCCCGCCUGGGGAGUACGGUCGCAAGAUUAAAACUCAAAGGAAUUGACGGGGGCCCGCACAAGCGGUGGAGCAUGUGGUUUAAUUCGAUAAUACGCGAGGAACCUUACCUAGGCUAGAAUGCGAGUGACAUCCAGAGAGAUCUGGAGUUCUUCGGACACAAAGCAAGGUGCUGCAUGGUUGUCGUCAGCUCGUGCCG
rnacentral:rRNA from 1 species